GCAGCCAUGACCGAGUGGUUAAGGCGUCUGACUAGAAAUUAGAGGUGAUCAUGACGUGCAGGUUCGAGUCCUGCUGGCUGCA